AUUGAACGCUGGCGGCAUGCCUUACACAUGCAAGUCGAACGGCAGCACGGGGGCAACCCUGGUGGCGAGUGGCGAACGGGUGAGUAAUACAUCGGAACGUGUCCUGUAGUGGGGGAUAGCCCGGCGAAAGCCGGAUUAAUACCGCAUACGACCUGAGGGAGAAAGCGGGGGAUCUUCGGACCUCGCGCUAUAGGGGCGGCCGAUGGCAGAUUAGCUAGUUGGUGGGGUAAAGGCCUACCAAGGCGACGAUCUGUAGCCGGUCUGAGAGGACGACCAGCCACACUGGGACUGAGACACGGCCCAGACUCCUACGGGAGGCAGCAGUGGGGAAUUUUGGACAAUGGGGGCAACCCUGAUCCAGCAAUGCCGCGUGUGUGAAGAAGGCCUUCGGGUUGUAAAGCACUUUUGUCCGGAAAGAAAACCAUUGCCCUAAUAUGGUGGUGGGAUGACGGUACCGGAAGAAUAAGCACCGGCUAACUACGUGCCAGCCGCCGCAGUAACAC
rnacentral:rRNA from 1 species